UGUCAUCUAUGAGCUGCUGAGCACAUAUAAACAUUUCAUUUCCCACUGCUCACUUAUGAAUGAGUUUUUCCAACCAUGGUCAGGCAAGAUGAUCGCACGCACGCCCCUCUUCUGGCUGCUGGUUCUCUGGAUUCAAGACUCCUCCGGGCAAAUUGUGAUGACUCAGUCCCUGGAAUCUCUGGCAGUGCCAGUGAGAGGGAGAGUCUCUAUCAACUGCAAAGCCAGUACGAGCAUUAACACUUGCAUACACUGGUACCAACAGAAACCUGGACAAGCUCCCAAACUUCUUAUCUACCUCGCCACCAACCUCCAGUCGGGGGUCCCAGCCCGGUUCAACGGCAGCGGCUCUGGCACUGAUUUCACAUUCACCAUCAGCAGCGUAGAAGCUGAUGAUGCUGGAGAUUAUUACUGUCAGCAGUGUAGCAGCUACCCUCUCACAGUGAUACAGACCAGUACAAAAACCUCCCUGCUCUCUACCGUGUGCAAUGCAGUUACCAUUCAUUGCGGAUGUAACUGCAUUUCAAAUGUUCUGUCAAACGUGAAAUAA